rnacentral:rRNA from 1 species
GACGAACGCUGGCGGCGUGCUUAACACAUGCAAGUCGAACGGAGUGGCGAACGGGUGAGUAACACGUGGGUGACCUGCCCUGCACUUCGGGAUAAGCAUGGGAAACUGGGUCUAAUACCGGAUAGUGUGGGAUGGGCCCGCGGCCGAUCAGCAUGUUGGUGGGGUAAUGGCCUACCAAGGCGGCGACGGGUAGCCGGCCUGAGCGGGUGGACGGCCACAAGGGGACUGGGGCACGGCGCAGACUGCUACGGGAGGCAGCAGAGGGGAAUAUUGCACAAUGGGCGGAAGUGUGAGGCAGAGACGCCGAGUGGGUGAGGACGGCCUUCGGGUUGUAAACUCCUUUCACCAUAGACGCGGUAGAUGGCGAAGAAGCACCGGCUAACUACGUGCCAGCAGCCGCGGUAAUUC